GACGAACGCUGGCGGCGUGCUUAACACAUGCAAGUCGAACGAUGAAGCUGGAGUUUGCUCCGGUGGAUUAGUGGCGAACGGGUGAGUAACACGUGAGCAAUCUGCCCUUGACUCUGGGAUAACUGCGGGAAACUGUAGCUAAUACCGGAUACGAGGCUCGAAGGCAUCUUCGGGUCUGGAAAGAAUUUCGGUCAAGGAUGAGCUCGCGGCCUAUCAGCUUGUUGGUGAGGUAAUGGCUCACCAAGGCGACGACGGGUAGCCGGCCUGAGAGGGUGACCGGCCACACUGGGACUGAGACACGGCCCAGACUCCUACGGGAGGCAGCAGUGGGGAAUAUUGCACAAUGGGCGCAAGCCUGAUGCAGCAACGCCGCGUGAGGGAUGACGGCCUUCGGGUUGUAAACCUCUUUUAGCAGGGAAGAAGCGAAAGUGACGGUACCUGCAGAAAAAGCACCGGCUAACUACGUGCCAGCCGCCGCGGUAA
rnacentral:rRNA from 1 species